GCCCGGAGAAGAGGGCACCCCCGGUGAAGAUGGACAGCCCGCAAUGACAACCCCUCCCCACCGGACGGUCCCUGCAGCAUAGAUGGCCCGGACCAACUCACCCUAACUUCCCACCGAGGGCAGCACGAGGCUCUAUGGUCUACACACCUUGUCAAUGCAUGGGUCUCAAGCUGUAACUUAUGAGGUUGACAAUUUCUACUUUGUUUCUCUGUCCGAUUGCUUACUUUGCAAGGAUGUAUCACAACAAAGACAUCAAAAUCAAUAAUAAGGAAACAAACAAAUCUCAUGGGAAGACCUCAUGCUGCAGGAAUUGUCCAGAGCUGUAGAAAAUCCCCAAAGCUGACAGGCCUCCCAGGAGCACAGCGGCUGUCAGG